CGUUGUUCGGAAUUACUGGGCGUAAAGUGUGCGCAGGCGGCCGAGCAAGUCGAGUGUGAAAGCCCCGAGCUUAACUUGGGAACUGCGCUCGAAACUACUUGGCUAGAGUGUGGCAGAGGGAGGUGGAAUUCCACGUGUAGCGGUGAAAUGCGUAGAGAUGUGGAGGAACACCGAUGGCGAAGGCAGCCUCCUGGGCCAACACUGACGCUCAUGCACGAAAGCGUGGGGAGCAAACAGG
rnacentral:rRNA from 1 species